GACAUAGGUGGCGAACGUUAUCCGGAAUUACUGGGCGUAAAGAGUGCGUAGGUGGUUCAAUAAGUUACUGGUGGGAAAUCGGGGCUCAACCUCGUGGAAGUCAGUAAUACUAUUAAACUAGAGGGUCGGAGAGGUUAACGGAAUUCUAUGUGUAGCGGUAAAAUGCUUAAAUAUAUAGAGGAACACCAAACGGCGAAGGCAGUUAACUAGUCGAGUCCUGACGUUGAGGCACGAAAGCGUGGGGAGCAAGACGG
rnacentral:rRNA from 1 species